rnacentral:snRNA from 1 species
GUGCUCACUCGGCAGCACAUACAAUAAAAUUGGAACGAUCCAGAGAAGAAUCUCAUGGCCCCUGCACAAGGAUGACAUGCAAAAUCGUGAAGUAUUCCAUACUUUU